rnacentral:misc_RNA from 1 species
AAGUCGUAACAAGGUUUCCGUAGGUGAACCUGCGGAAGGAUCAUUAUCAAGCGCGGCUCUGCCGCGGUUGGAAUAGAACCCUUGCCUUUUUUUCGAGCACCCUUCGUUUCCUCGGCAGGCUCGCCUGCCACUGGGGACACAACCAAAACCUUUUGCAAUUGCAGUAACCAGUCUGAUGAACAAACAAAUAAAUCAAAACUUUCAACAACGGAUCUCUUGGUUCUG